rnacentral:rRNA from 1 species
GUAAGCGGCGCCCGGGUGAGAGAGAAUUUGUCCCAUCCGCGCGCCGCGCCCGCACCCAACGCAACCCAAUCCUCUCGUCCCGCACGCCGUGCACACUCCGGUCCCCUCAUCCUGCAUGAAACCUAGGAGAGAGAGAUAGGAAGAUGAGAGGGAGAGAAAGGGGAGAGGAGAGGAGAGGGAGGUCCGGCAGCGGACGGGAGAGGGUGACCGGCCAGCGUCGGCCUACACCGGCGAGGCGUCGGCCUGCGCCCCUCCUCGCGCACGAACCCUAGCUGAGAGACAAAAUGAGGGGGAGAGAGAGAAGGAAGGAGAGGAGGGAGAAAGAGAGAGGAAAGAGGAAAGGGAGGUGCGGCGGCUGACAGGAGAGAGGGUCAUCGGCCGGCGCUGGAGAGGACGGUCCCGACCUGGACGCGACUUGGAGGUUGGCGCCCUUUGUCCAUCCCCUCUAUCCCCACGAGCCGCCGCGCCCCUCCCUCUCCCCCUCAUCCUCUCACCGCAGCCGCCGGCCUUCUCUCCACUCGCCUCCUCCUCUCCUCUAUCACGUUGUCGUCGAUCCACCGCCGGCAUUCUCCUCAGCUUGCCUAGGUCAUCGUCAUGGGAGAGCAGCGACGGCGGUGUCUUCGCGGUGCGGAUGGGGAUGUAGGGGAGGGGUGGGGAUGUACGGGAAGGAGGAAGCCGGUGAGGAAGGCAAGCAACAGCGGGGAAUGAGCUAGGUGAGCGAUCCUAGCGGGUGGGAAGGGGCAGGUUGAGGCCUCGCGCACCUGCCAGCGGCAGGCAGGUCGAAUUGUCGCGCCACCGCGUCGUCGCCUCCUCUGCACCAUGAGGUGCCACCUCUGCCUCCACCCCCCACCGGGCAAGGAGCUCAAGGUGAAUAGGCGGUGGGAAGGUGAGAGGAAGCAGGAGCUCAUCUCUCCUCCAAUGGCUGCCUCGUGCAUCUGGAGGACAACACGUGCUUGUUGGAGGCGACUCGAGCGAUGCAGGUCAGCGGCGAACUAGAUCUGACAUAGAAGACCACGUUCCUCAUAUUCAAAAGUGAUCUUCUUCCAAUGGCUCUAAUGCAAAGAGGAGGAGUCACAUACAUGCGCACCUGCCAGCGGCAGGCAGGUCGAAUUGUCGCGCCACCGCAUCGUCGCCUCCUCUGCACCAUGAGGUGCCACCUCUGCCUCCACCCCCCACCGGGCAAGGAGCUCGAGGUGAAUAGGCGGUGGGAAGGUGAGAGGAAGCAGGAGCUCAUCUCUCCUCCAAUGGCUGCCUCGUGCAUCUGGAGGACAACACGUGCUUGUUGGAGGCGACUCGAGCGAUGCAGAUCUGACAUCGAAGACCACGUUCCUCAUAUUCAAAAGUGAUCUUCUUCCAAUGGCUCUAAUGGUAAUUUAUAACCUCUUUUGAUGUACCGCAGUUGUGUCAAGUUUGCUGACAUCCUCGUGCUGCAACUGGCUUGGUAUAUUUGGUUAAUCGUAACCAGCAAAGAGGAGGAGUCUCAUACAUGCCUGCUAUUCUUUAUGUGGUUGUAUGAAGUGUACCUUCAACUAAUCAAGCAACCUGGCAUUAGUAGUUUGUUUAAUUAAUAUCACUCUCAUCAAAGAGUAUGAUAUCAUUUAGCUAGCCUCCUUUCUUUGUAAGAGGGAUAGUGUAAAGGUUAGAAAUGGGUAACGGAAUGAGUGUUCUCAUUUUUACUGCCCCUGGAUUUAGGGAAUAUAUAUGCGUAUAUAUUGAUGCUCAUCGUUGCCAUGUCUGGCUCUUCAGGUGCAUGCUAGCUAGAAGUUCAGAUUUGUAAUCAACGAGUGUAAAAUUGAUUGUCUCUGGUUACUCUCGUGAUCUGUAUCUAGAGGGCAAGUCAGGUCUUGGAAUGCUGAGGUGAGACUUUCCAUGGCCUCUGUUUUUCUUGAUGGGUGGAUUACACAUUACUUCCUUGGAUGUUUAAAGAUUAUUAUAUCAUUGCUCCCCUUUUUAUCGGCAAGCAUUCUCUCAUCUUCUGGUAACUUGAGUAAGAUGCAACACACUAAUGCUUUCUUAGUCUGGUUUGUUGCAAAAAAUAAUUGAAGUGUGCAGACAGGCAGCAUGGAAACACUAAAGAGAAGUUUCAUACGUACUAAUAGCUGGAGUGAUUUGAUACCUGUAGUAACCGUCUUAGAAUAAAUAAGAUUCAGCUAUUUCUAAAGAUAUUAGACCAUAAGAUUAUUCUUAAGUAAAGAUGUUUCAUGCUUCUGUUUCUGCAAAAUUUCUAAGAGUAUAUGAUUUCAUUUUCCUUCUUUCCCAGUUAUAAAUUUAUUGGCAUCAAAGUAGAGCUUCAGGUUUAUGGUUCAGUAUAUCAUUGCAAAGUAGUUUAUGGCUCAGUAUAUCACUACAGGUUCCUUACACUCUCAAAUUUCAAUGUUUUUGUAUUUUUGUCGAUGGAACCAUGUUCUUUGACUAUAAAGUAGCAGAGAUUUCUUUUCUAUCAAUUCUAAUCCCUUUUUAUGCAUUGCUGGUUUGCUAUCAAACUCUCAAAAAUGGAAAAACAACUUUACUUUGGUUUUUUGAGAACCUUCCUGUAGAGUACCUCGACAGAGACAAAUAUGCGGUCAAGGAUAUAUUCGAUGGAUUUUCAUGCCAAACUUGGAGGAUAUUUUUGCAGGUUCGUUGCUUGCAUUAUUGUUUUCUUACUUUCUGUUCUUCAAGACAAUAUCUUCCUAGCAUUGCUCUAUAAAUUUAAAUCCAUCUUUUUGUUCUUUGGAUUAUCAUGGCGUACUCAUCCUGUGUAAUCCAAGCAAGGGCCUUCAUGUUUGCAGAUAGUUUGGUACUCUCGUGGUUAUUUUUGUGGUGAUUUGCCUUCUAUUCAUUACUUGGUAACCAUCUACUGCAGGUCAGCUAUUGUCCAGCUGCUAACCUUAUGGUGAGUGGUUGAUGGUGCAUGUUUUCCUAUUAGUUUCUCUCUAUGCCAAUGUCUGAAUUUUAUCUUGCCGUUUUGCAUUUCUACAGGCCUUUCAUUCUCAUUGUGAUUCCCCGAGAUGCGCUAUUAGUAGGCAUCCACUUUCUAAUAAAAAUUUGGAAGUCAACUUGAAAAGAGUCAUUUAUCUAGCUACAGCAACCUUCCUUGCUUUUGCAAAUAAUACUUUAUGGUUGACAAUAUAGUCUACACCUGCCAAACAUUUACACGUUAGUAUAACCAGAAAGUCAGAUGAUCGUUCCAUGUUGGUUAGCCGUGAUAAAUCAAAUUUCUAGAGUAGCAGAUGAUUCGUGUCAGGUUUCUUUUAGAGAUUGAAAUAUGUCUUGACUCCGAAAUAAGUAGUACAACGUCCAGUUCUGCAUAGGUGAAAGCAUACUGUGCAAAACCGGACAGCCUUCUAAAGCUCUGAAACUACUAUUUGUUUUUGUUUUUUGCGGUUAACUACUACUUGUUGUGUGAUCAGUACCCCCUUUUUAUACUCUGUAUAUGCUUUCUACUUACUAGGAAAAAAUGCGUGAGAACGAUGGCCUAGAGGAUGUGAAUUGCACUCGAAUAUAUGCAGGUUUCUUGCCAAACUAACUGCCACUAUUAUAUUUCAGGUGCUUCUUCUGUAACUUAGUGUAUUUUCCUGGCUCUUCUCAUUUCCUGGCGAACUUUUUAGUAUGUACAGUUGAAUCGUUGGAAGUUGUUUUCUACUAUCUAUAGAGGUUUUAUCCAAACUAUUAGCUGCCUGACUUGCUUUUUCGAAAUACACCGUCCUGAUAGACAUUUCCAUGGGAUGUUAGAAAAAUAUAUGUGAAUUUGCAUACAUUUUAUAAAUUCCUAUCUUUACUUAUCCAUGCUUCCCCAUAGAUAAAUAGCAGGUUCAACAAAAAUGAAUGUUCUCUUUUGUUCAAAUUUCAAGAAAGUGUGCUUCACGCUUCUCUUUCUGCAAUAUGUUUCGGAGUGUAUGAUUUGAUUUUCCUACUUUCCCGGUUACAAUACUGUGUACUUCAUUCCUAGCUUUGCUUGAAAUAGGUAUGCAGGUUAUCGAAAGCUCCAUUUUUCUCCAUUAUAUAGAUUAUAUAGCUUUGUGAUCAAAGGUAGGUUGUCACACAGGGGAUUUGGCUUGUGAAAGUUAUAUACAUCCAUGAGUCCCUAACAAAAUAAUCGCAGCUCAUGUUAAAAGGAUCAGGGAACCUCGACCAUUUUUCUGAAACAUGUCUCAGCUCAUGUUCCGACUUUCUACACUACUAUGUACUUCAUUCUUACCUUUGCUUUUGGAAGUUACAUUCUUUCUUUUCCCUCGUAAACUUGCUAACGAUAUUGGCAAAGUAAUCCCCACUUCAUAUUUCCCAUUGAAUGAAUAACUAAUUUAGAUUGUUCAAAAAUUGUAGGUCAAGAGGCAUGAAUAGGAGCAGGGCAUCACACUCCAGCUCUGAGAAGGAAAGGAUAUGAAGACAAAGAUAUAUGAGUGUUGUGCUCCGACGCAAAAACAUUUUGCGUGUAAUAAUGAACUGUAAUUUACCACAAUCUCUCUACAACAGGCCUACCUAUUACCAUCCGUUGCUUGCUUUUGUAUUAGGAAGUAUGACUCAGUCAUAUAUAUUUACAUUCACGUUGUUUAGUUAUGGUUCGUAUGCAUGAACAUACCUUUUUAACCGAGCUUGAAAAUUCUUAUGUGUAGUGAAAUUGCAUCUAGCACUUUAGACAUCAUAAUCAUAAAUGGUUGCUAAAGAGUUUGAAUUGGUAAAGUGGUUGCAUCCGCUGUUACAGGUCUGGAAUGUUCCUCCAUGCUAAAACCUAAUUUAAUUUUGAAAACACUUUGUGUUUGAAAUUGACAUUGUGCUGUUUGGUGUAAUGGGCCAUUUGUGUAACCAUGCAUGCAGAGAAAUCAGAAAUAAUAAGAAAGGAG